rnacentral:rRNA from 1 species
UACGAAGGGAGCUAGCGUUGUUCGGAAUCACUGGGCGUAAAGCGCACGUAGGCGGAUGUGUCAGUCAGGGGUGAAAUCCCGGAGCUCAACUUCGGAACUGCCUUUGAUACAGCACGUCUUGAGUCCGAUAGAGGUGGGUGGAAUUCCUAGUGUAGAGGUGAAAUUCGUAGAUAUUAGGAAGAACACCGGUGGCGAAGGCGGCCCACUGGAUCGGUACUGACGCAGGUGCGAAAGCGUGGGGAGCAAACAGG